UUGUUAGGCCUCCUACUUCUGAACAAUCUGGCAUUCCAUCUGCAUUCCCUGUGACACCAACUUCUCCAAGAAUCAAUUCACCUAGAGAUGCAUCUCCUCGGACUUCUUAUAGGGCUACAUCUCCUGGUGCCACUUCUCCAAGGAUCGCCUCUCCGAGGGCCGCUUCUCCAAGGGUCAUCUCUUCUAAGGCAGCUUCUCCAAAGGUUAGCCCUCCCAAGGAAGCUUCUCCAAAGGCUACCUCUCCGAGGGCAGCUUCUCCAAAGGCUACCUCUCCCAGGGCAGCUUCUCCAAAGGUUACCUCUCCCAGGGAAGCUUCUCCAAAGGCUGCCUCUGCUAGUGCUCCUUCCCUAAAGGCUCUCUCUCCUAGGGAAGCUUCUCCAAAGGCUACCUCUGCUAGUGCUCCUUCCCCAAAGGCUACUGCUCCUAGGGAGGCUUCUCCAAGGGUCUCUUCUCCUAGAUCUACUUAUCCAGAGCUGAGUAGGAACCAUAAUGAGAUUAGCUAUGCUAACGGACCAGAACCAACUUUGACGCUCCAGCUUUCAGCAACCAAGAUACAGGCAGCCUACAGAAGUUACAUGGUAAGAUUCAAGAUAACUCCUUCAUCAAUGUUUUGCUGAAAAUAGCCUUUAAGAAUACUACUUGAUUUUGUGAGUUGGCCAGAUCUUGAGUGAAAAGUUAUAGGUCAUGUUAUUGCGCACUCAUGAUAUAUUGGUAACAAUUAUGUCAUUGUUGAAACAACUUAAUAGUCUCCCAAGUAAUCAUUUCCAUGUCUGCUGCAACUAUUUGUUAUUGCCAAAGGCGAGCAUCAAGCUGAGAGAGUAAAUCAAUUAUGUGAAAAGCUUUAUGCUUUGUUAAAGACUUAUGGCUCUCUUAGUCUAAAAUUUAGGUGCUUUUUAUGUGGUGAAACUCCCUGCUGUGUGUUAGAGAACUGGUAACAGGUAAACAAAUUCUUUACCCUUCGAUUAAAGCUCUGGAUGAGUUCAUUCAGUGGUCUCAGGGUUCAUUUCUACCUAAGAAGUUUGUUUCUACCACAAUCAGGAUCUUGUUAUUGCAUUUUCACUUGAUCUGUAGAAAUGCUUUGACCUUUUAUCAUUCAUAUUUUCCUUAUGAUAGUUUUACCUGAGAAUUUAAUCUUCACGAUUCCUUCUUAAAUGCUGAGCUUCCUCAAUAUUAUACCUUUCACUAUUUGUUUUAGUAGAUUGACUGUGGAACAGGUUAUAUUUAACUGAUUAUUUAAAAGGAGGUCACUUUCCUUGUCUGAGAACUCCAUUUUUCUUUUCGAAAUUUUGACAUAAAUUAAGUGACUUGCAGAUUAUCUGAAACAGGAUAGGAAAAAACAGAGAUUAGAACUUUUGUAUAAGUAAUUGGGACCCCCAAUCUUUUCUUAUGCUGUUUUCAAGAAACCCAUUUCCAGUCCUAAUGACUUUACUGCUAGAGUAGUUUUCCUCACUGUCUUAAUUAUACUCUUGAACCAUGGAAACUAUGACUCCUGGACUCCGUAGGACCUGAAUUCUUAAUUCUUGAUUUUAAAAAAACAUGGAAAUACAAAGUCUGCAUUCAUCUGUCAUAAGCAUCUUGAAAAUUCGAGUAAUUUUGUUCUUAUCAACUUGUUAGAAAAACUUCUUAUGUCAAAGAAAACAAUAUAGGAUCUUAUGUUAUCAUUGUUAUUUCCCUUGUCGUGGUUCAGUAGGAGUGAAUAGAAGUUCAUUGCAUCAUAUAAAGUUUUUUUUUUUUUUUUUUUUUUUUUUUUUAAAAAAGAACCAUUAGAGUCCUUUUCCAUUUUCUCCCCUUUCUAGAGCAGGUCAUUGAUGGGACACGAAUGUUUGGUUCCAAGAGAGUCUAUCAAUUGCUAACAAGUGUUACAUAUCCUAUGUGAAUGAACUUUGUUUUCACAGGCAAGGAGGGGUUUCAAAUCUUUGAGUGGUUUAGCAAGACUUCAAGGAGUGGUCAGAAGCAGAAGUGUAAAGCGGCAGACAGUAAAUGCCAUGAAACAAAUGCAACUUCUAGGUAGGGUUCAAAUGCAAAUUCAGUCAAGGAGGAGUCAGAUGUUCCAGGCACUCCAUAGUCAAGCUUACAUGAAUGAUAAAGAAGCUGAGAGCACUCUAAGCAAAUGGACUCAGCUGGUAAGUUUAAGCUGCUACAUAUCUUGUGGUAUUCACCUAUUUAGUGGUAUAGGCCGAUGCCAUAUUUUGGAGGCACUGUUCGCCUACAUUCUUUAGUAGAUUUAAUUUGGGUCAUUUAAAUUGGGUAGUUUUCCUCAUUAUUGGUGCUUUGAUUAUCUUGUGAAAGAUUUGAUGGAUUCUUCCACUGGUCAAAGAUGGUACGCAGCUUCUUCAACAAUUCCAAUUUAGGUUCUAGGAAUUCAUUUUUGUACAUAUAUUGUAGUGUAAGGAUAUGAGAGUUGUCGAACAAAAGUUAUUUUCGUCUUCGAACAUAUUUUGAAUUACGUCUGAUGUUAAAAAGGAAAUUUUGUUUUAGACUGAAGCAGGUAACCAUGAUGAUUGGAAUAAUAGUAUGCUAACUAAAGAUGAGGUAGAAGCAAGGCGGCGGGAAAAAGUGGAGGCAGUCAUCAAGAGGGAGAGAGCAAUGAGCUAUGCAUGUUCUCACCAGGUACAUUAGACUUAUGUUCUUAAGCAUGUAAAAUCUAUGGUAACCAUUGCGUAAAUGUACUUUGAUAAUGCAGUAAUGGAUCAUUCUGUUUCAUGCUUAUUGUUGACACCCAAUUUUGGCCUAACAUUUUAAAGAUUCAUACCUUUUAAGUUUUAUUAAUUCAAUAGUACAAAAUACAUUUUUUAUAAUUUUAAAUAAGUUUAUCGAUUCUUAUCCUUAUUUCUCAAAAUUUUAGAUUUUUAUGAGUUAGUUUUUUAAUUACAUUUUUUUUUGUAACAAUCAAUUGAAUAUGUUAUGAAUAUUGUGUCAUUGAUUAAAUCAUUAUUUUAUGGUAAAUUGCAUUUUUGUUUACAUGCCAUUCAUUUUAUUCAUUACGUUUGUUAAAAUUCAUUUUUUAUUUGUUACUUUUAUUUAUAUUCAUUUUGAUGUCUUUAGCGCAGUCUAGAAAUACAGUUAAAUACAUAAAAUAUUUGAAUACACAGAUAUUUUAUUAGCUAGUGGUUUUAGCCCACGACUUUAAGAUAAUGGUAUUGUACUAAGGCAGUUUUCAAUUUUCUAUUUAAACAAUUUCUUGGUAAUUAAGUUAGUGGUGGUGGAUAAGAUUAUAGAUAAUGGGUGUAAUUUUUAGAUUUUUUAGUCUUUAAGAAAUUCUUUUAGUGUUCAUAUUUUUUCAGUAAACUUUUCGCCGGAGCUCCGCCUAGUCCACGACCAAAAGACCCCAACCCAUUUAGCUUUUUCCUUGUUAUUUUCGGAUCUAACCGGAGGUUCCAACUCUUGCAAAACCCCAUUUGGUUUUUAUCUUUUUUGUUUCUCUAACAAACACACCCCACAGGUUAAACUCUUCUUCUUCCUCACUGUUAUCCCUCUUCUCCGGUGAAACCCAUGAGCUCCGACCACCAUUGCUCUACCCACGAGCUACUAGUGAUACCAUACAACCACCAAAACGAAGUAAACCAGAACCACAACCCCACCUUUCUCUCCAUUUCUUCCUCCACGUCGGAAGUCACCAAACACCCCCUUUCUUCCACCUGAAAUCGGGCGAGUUCACACCAGAGAAUUCUGUUUACAUCCCUACUUUAUUCAUAUAAGGAGAAACAUCGUGGUGACUCAAAAAAUAAUCAAUUAAUUCAAUUUAAAAGAAUUUUAAGAAAAAACGAAUUUUAAGGGAGUCGCCACCUAAUUUUAGGAAAACUAGGAAAUCAAUUAAAUGAUCUACGAAACCAAUAGAUUCUAGGUAAGGGUUCAAGUAAUUCUGAAGGAAAGGUGUUAAGGCAUUCUUCGAAAUCCACAAUUGUGGGUCCCGACUCCCGACUGAAUUCAUUUUUUCAAAUUGAGGAGGAGAUAACAAUAAUAUACAACUAUAAUAAAAAUGCAAUAUACACAAAUAAUAAAAUAAAACUAUAAUAUGAUAAAUGACCUAAGCUUGCCUAACGUCAAUUAUACAAAAUAAUGAAUAAAUAAUAUAAUUCGAACUUUGUUCGAAUAGCUUCAAUGGGAAGCAACUCUGGGUACCUAUAAAGAUAAUGAAUAAUAAAAGAAUUUAAAAUGUUACCUUCUCAAAAAAAAAAAAAAAAAAAAAUAAUUCUAAAUUACACCCCCAAAUCUGAAAAUCUUAUUCACCACCACUAACUUAAUGAUCAAGAAAUUAUUUAAAUAGAAAAUUGAAAACCGUCUUAGUACAAUACCACUAUCUUAAAACCGUGGGCUAAAACCACCGGUUAUAAAAUAUCCGUGUAUGCAAUUUUAUCCGUAUUUGAAUGUAUCUCUAGACUGCGCUAAAACAUAAAAAAUGAAUAUUAAUAAAAGUAACAAAUAAAAUAAAUAUUAAUAGAUGUGACAAAUAAAAAAUGCAAUUUUAUAAAAUUAAUGAUUCAAUCAAAGAUACGAUGUUCACAACAUAUUCAAUUGAUUGUGACAAAAAAUGAUGUAAUUAAAAUUAACUCAUAAAAAAUCCUGAAAUUUUGAGAAAUAAGGAUAAAUAUCUAUAAACUUAUUUAAAAUUAUAAAAAUGUAUUUGAACAAUAAAUAAAUAAAACUUAAAAGUUACGAAUUUUGAAAAUGUUAAGCCAAAAUUGGGUGUCAACACUUAUCACUUCCUUUAUGUUGUACCAAUCCUGCUAUUAAGUGCAUCAUAACAAUUUCUAUCUGCUUACGGCCAAGUUAUUGAAAUAUUUCUUUAGUGGUUCUCUUUCUUACCAAAUCUUUUAUCUAAUGUGAAUCCUGGUACUAAGUACAUCAUAAUGAUCUCUCUGUUUGUUGCUUUUGACUAAUCUUUCAAAGAUUAUCAAAUUAAGAUGCACUUGUGCAAAUUACCACAAAUGUCAAAACUUUCAAUUUUCUUGUUUCAACUUCCCAUUAGUGAUUCUGGCAAUCCGUUAAAGGUAAACACAUAAUAUCUUUCAAAGAUUAUCAUUAUUUGUUAUUCUUGGCCAAGACAUGUUGACAAACUCAAUACCUCCGUUAACCCUAUAUAUGGCUUACCAUGUUGCAUACCUCUUUUUAACAGUUGUGGAGAAGCAACCCCAAAUCAGCUACGGACAUCCGAACCAGUGGAAUUCCUUGGUGGUGGAACUGGUUGAACCACCAGCUACUUCCAGGAAAUGAUUCCGAGAGCCAAUCUGCUGUAAAAGACGUCCAUUCAACACCAUCAAGGGCAAUUUCGGAACACAA
rnacentral:lncRNA from 1 species